CGAAAUUCCUUGUCGGGUAAGUUCCGACCCGCACGAAAGGCGUAAUGAUUUGAGCACUGUCUCGACAAUACAUCCGGUGAAAUUGAAGUACCAGUGAAGAUGCUGGUUACCCGCGCCAGGACGGAAAGACCCCAUGGAGCUUUACUCCAGUUUGGUACUGGGAUUCGGUACUGCACGUACAGGAUAGGUGGGAGACUAAGAAACUUGAACGCCAGUUUGAGUGGAGUCGCUGUUGGGAUACCACCCCUGCAGUAUUGGAUUUCUAACCAGUCACCGUGACCCGGUGAUGGGACAAUGCCAGGCGGGGAGUUUGACUGGGGCGGUCGCCUCCGAAAGGGUAUCGGAGGCGCUCAAAGGUUCCCUCAGAAUGGUUGGAAACCAUUCGAAGAGUGCAAAGGCAGAAGGGAGCUUGACUGCGACACCGACGGGUGGAGCAGGUAGGAAACUAGGACUUAGUGAUCCGGUGGCAUAAAGUGGGAUUGCCAUCGCUCAACGGAUAAAAGCUACCCUGGGGAUAACAGGCUUAUCACUCCCAAGAGUUCACAUCGACGGAGUGGUUUGGCACCUCGAUGUCGGCUCAUCGCAUCCUGGGGCUGUAGUAGGUCCCAAGGGUUGGGCUGUUCGCCCAUUAAAGCGGUACGCGAGCUGGGUUCAGAACGUCGUGAGACAGUUCGGUCCCUAUCCGGCGCGGGCGGAGGAUAUUUGAGAGGAGCUGUCCUUAGUACGAGAGGACCGGGAUGGACGGACCACUGGUGUAUCUGCUGUCGACCAACGGCAUGGCAGAGUAGCCAAGUCCGGAAGGGAUAAACGCUGAAGGCAUCUAAGCGUGAAGCCCCCCUCAAGAUGAGAUAUCCCUCACAAAAGUGAGUAAGAUCCCUUGAAGACUACAAGGUAGAUAGGGCAGAGGUGGAAGUGUGGCAACACAUGGAGCUGACUGUUACUAAUCGAUCGAGGGCUUGACCAA
rnacentral:rRNA from 1 species